CAUUAAAGUUGAUAUUAUGUAUAUAGUAUUCACAGACCGUGCCGUGAAUGAGGUUUGAAGCUAGCGUUAAGAAUGAGAGAGUUAAACCAACGUAACACCCUAUUGGGAUUAAAGCGUUGAUAAAUACCGAGCACGAUCUCGCAGCACUACGAUCUAGGAGCAAUGGAGAAGUUUCAUGUGCGCCGGCGCAUUGCUUGCAGAAAGGUAAGCGCCAGGCAUCUUUUAAUGCAUACAUGACGUCUCUCUUGCUUUUGUGUCUGUCUCUAUGAAGGAAAGCGGCUCAUAAUGGAGGUCGUUACACGUUUAUACGAUCCUUCGCAAAUAUUUCUUAUUUAUUCAGCGAAUGAAUCGAAAGGACUUUAUUAAACGUGAUAUUAAAGAUAUCAAAGGGAAUCAAAUUUGGCAAGUUGCCUAUAUUUACUUCAUCGUUUGAGCAAUUCCAAUUUAUUCGUUAU